rnacentral:rRNA from 1 species
UUCGCAAUGCCCGAAAGGGUGACGAAGCGACGCCGCGUGUGGGAAGAAGGCCUUCGGGUUGUAAACCACUGUUGGGAGUUAGGAAGUGUGGGGGUGUUAAUAGCGCUUCCACUUGACUAAAGCUCCAGAGGAAGCCACGGUUAACUCUGUGCCAGCAGCCGCGGUAAUACAGAGGCGGCAAGCGUUGUUCGGAAUUAUUGGGCGUAAAGAGCACGUAGGCGGCUCUGCAAGUCAGCUGUGAAAGCCUUCUGCUUAACGGAAGAACAGCAGUUGAAACUACAGGGCUUGAGUGCGGGAGGGGAGAGUGGAACUUCUGGUGGAGCGGUGAAAUGCGUAGAUAUCAGAAGGAACGCCGGCGACGAAAGCGGCUCUCUGGUCCGCAACUGACGCUGAGUGUGCGAAAGCUAGGGGAGCAAACGGGAUUAGAUACCCCGGUAGUCCUAGCCGUAAACGAUGGGCACUAAGUAGAGGGGUUUU